UCGAAUCCUGCAAAUAGCAGAAUGACCCGCUAACUCGUAAACCAUUUGGGCAAGCGUCGGGGGCCCUUGGUCCCCUGUCCGCGAAUCCCUGGUAGGUGGCCACUCCCGGGUGGCCACUGGCCUGCAAAAUCAUUUGGGCGCGGAAUGCGCCAAGGACCUUAAAACUGAAUUGCACGUCUGUAUCCCGUUAGCGGGAAACGACGUCGUUCCAAAACAC
rnacentral:misc_RNA from 1 species